CAUGCAAGUCGAACGAGAAUCUACUGAAAGAGUUUUCGGACAAUGGAUGUAGAGGAAAGUGGCGGACGGGUGAGUAACGCGUGAGGAACCUGCCUUGAAGAGGGGGACAACAGUUGGAAACGACUGCUAAUACCGCAUGACGCAUAGAGGUCGCAUGAUCUUUAUGCCAAAGAUUUAUCGCUUCAAGAUGGCCUCGCGUCUGAUUAGCUAGUUGGCGGGGUAACGGCCCACCAAGGCGACGAUCAGUAGCCGGACUGAGAGGUUGAACGGCCACAUUGGGACUGAGAUACGGCCCAGACUCCUACGGGAGGCAGCAGUGGGGAAUAUUGGGCAAUGGGCGCAAGCCUGACCCAGCAACGCCGCGUGAAGGAAGAAGGCUUUCGGGUUGUAAACUUCUUUUAAGAGGGAAGAGCAGAAGACGGUACCUCUAGAAUAAGCCACGGCUAACUACGUGCCAGCAGCCGCGGUAAUACGUAGGUGGCAAGCGUUGUCCGGAUUUACUGGGUGUAAAGGGCGUGCAGCCGGGUCUGCAAGUCAGAUGUGAAAUCCAUGGGCUCAACCCAUGAACUGCAUUUGAAACUGUAGAUCUUGAGUGUCGGAGGGGCAAUCGGAAUUCCUAGUGUAGCGGUGAAAUGCGUAGAUAUUAGGAGGAGCACCAGUGGCGAAGGCGGAUUGCUGGACGAUAACUGACGGUGAGGCGCGAAAGUGUGGGGAGCAAACAGGAUUAGAUACCCUGGUAGUCCACACUGUAAACGAUGAAUACUAUGUGUGCGGGGACUGACCCCCUGCGUGCCGCAGUAAACACAAUAAGUAUUCCACCUGGGG
rnacentral:rRNA from 1 species